rnacentral:lncRNA from 1 species
AUUCAAACAGGCUACUGCUAUUAAGGAUUGCACAACUUCUGGGCAAGGCAGAGGUGGGUUUGGCUUUUUAAAAAUUUUUUCAGCCUGUCCUCAUGGAACUACAUAUUCUUUUCUAAGAACUUUUCAUCCUAACCUCCCUACUCACAUCUUCUAAGUGUCUCUGCUCUGGUGGGAAUGUGAUGGACAACACAGAGCCAUCUCAGAAGCCUCUGUGGCCACCACCAGGCCGGCCAGGGUGCAGGGGGCCACUCCCUGGGCAGCCAUAGGGUUCUCAGCAAGGUGCAUUCGUCGUCCCUGCUGAGAAUCUGAUGGGGCAGCAUUUUUUUUUUUAAUUAAAUGCAAGCUGAGUCAUUUCAACCUGCAACCUUCAGGUAACAGGAGUUACCCAAGCUCCAGGAAUUAUGAUUGUGGGGUAAACCCAUUCUCUUGUUUUCUUGCGGUUCUAUUUUAUAACGCACUAGAGGAGACAGAGACGUCAUUGCUUCACCCAGGGCAAGAGGACAAAGGAGGAUGCAUGGAAAUACAAACAGCCCUUCUCCUCCAGGCCAUACCGACUGUCCAACUAGCAACAGACUUCACCUGGUUUUGGAGCAAUCUGAAUUUGGAAUAUGCCAGAGAAAACUUCUAUCAGGCAAGAUGGAAGACUCCUAGGAUAGGUCUCUCUCAUGGAGGGAUUGGCACGAUGGUAAGAGUCCAGUGGAUGGAAAAGGCCUCCUCCUUAAAGAUGGUGAUGGAAACGAGCACUGCACAGGGAAACACAAAUCAGGUCCCCUGAAAUCCAGCCCAACCUGGCCAGACCCUCCAGUGCCCAUCAGGGCUUAUGAACAGGGUGCUUCAGUGUCUUUGUUAGGGGUGGUUAAAAAGGAGCACGUGCUUAUAGGGGAUGCUGCUGAGCUCCAUGAUUUUGACUUCCUGUCUAACCUGUUGAUGCUACAAAACUCUUUUAAAAACAGUUACCAUGGGAACUUUUCCCUAGCAAGCAUUCUUCAAGAAACGUUACAGGUGCUGGUGAAUUCAAUGCCCUUGGUGUCAAUAAGCUUUUGCUGAGUCUUAGAAUGUGUGGCUUGAACUGAGAGGACUUUCAAACAGAUAAUGCGAAGUUUCCAAUGCAAAUGUCUUCGGGGUUAAGUGUCAGUGAAGUGCAGUGGAAGGUAGGGGGAUAAAAUGAUCUCAGUGUAUAUGGAGGCCCCACUUAAGCAUUCAAAAAAUUCUAUAUACAGUGUUUUCAAUGUAUUAUGUAUCAGCAAAACAAAAUACCCCAUAGGGCUAUAAUCAGCUCAGGGGGUCACCUCAGCAAGAGAUGCUCUGGCUAUCACUCCUACUACGGGAUUUCCUCUCUCAUCAGAACCAGUAGGUGGUCAAAACCACAAUAAUGCAUAAAUGAAGGCAGGGAAUUGGGUAUCCAAUGUGAGCAACUGAAAAGGUGCCAUGUAUUAGCUAUUUGCCAUUAUGGUUCUGCAAGUGCUCAGAUGACUCAUAAAAUGACCAGAACAAAA